AGGCGAAAGCCGAAAAUUUUCAAGUAAAAUUUAUUAAUAUAUAUAUAUAUAUAUAUAUGUAUGUAUAAAACACUUGAAUAAUUUUGAACGAAAGGGAAUACGGUUCCAAUUCCGUAACCUGUUGAGUAUCCGUUUGUUAUUAAAUAUGGGCCUCGUGCUCAUCCUGGCAACAGGAACGACCAUAAAGAAGCCGUCGAGAGAUAUCGGAAGAGUUUUCUUUUCUGUUUUAUAGCCGUACUACCAUGGAAGUCUUUCGCAGAGAGAUAUGGUAGAUGGGCUAGAAGAGCAUGACAUAUACUGUUGUGUCGAUAUUUUCUCCUCGGACCUUGAAAAUUUAUGGUGGGGAUACGCAAACUUCUCAACAGGCCGUACCAAUAUCCGCAGCUGGUCUCCAAG
rnacentral:rRNA from 1 species